rnacentral:rRNA from 1 species
GAUGAACGCUGGCUGCGUGCCUAAUACAUGCAAGUCGAGCGAACAGACGAGGAGCUUGCUCCUCUGACGUUAGCGGCGGACGGGUGAGUAACACGUGGAUAACCUACCUAUAAGACUGGGCUAACUUCGGGAAACCGGAGCUAAUACCGGAUAACAUGUUUAACCGCAUGGUUCAACAGUGAAAGAUCGGCUUGCUGGCACUUAUAGAUGGAUCCGCGCCGCAUUAGCUAGUUGUUAAGGUAACGGAUUACAAAGGCAACGAUGCGUAGCCGACCUGAAGGGGUGAUGGACCGCACUGGAACUGAGACACGGUUCAGGCUCAUACGGGAGGCAGCAGGAGGGAAUAUUCGGCAAUGGGAGAAAGCCUGACGGAGCAACGCCGCGUGAGUGAAGAAGGUCUUCGGAUCGUAAAACUCUGUUAUUAGGGAAGAACAAAUAUGUAAGUAACUAUGCACGUCUUGACGGUAGCUAAUCAGAAAGCCACGGCUAACUACGUGCCAGCAGCCGCCGUAA